GGCUCUUGUUACUUGUAGGAAGCAUGCCGUCAGCCCCUUGGAUUUGGUCUUCUGUCAUCCACAACAUUUCUAUCAAUGUGUGAAAGUUCUGAAUACUUUCCAAUACUUCCUGUGCGAUGCAUAUGCUGCUACCCAUGUAAGGUUAAAGCAUUUCCUCUACAGCCAGGCAAGAUGUGAUAGAUCUCUGUGUCCUUGCUCCAGCCCACCAUCAACCUUCUUUACAAUUACCUCAGUGGAACAAUUCCUUUCCAUUUCUGUGGGAUAUCAGAGCCUACCCAGCAAGUGUUGGUGAGUUGCAGUCCUCGUGGAAAUAAUAACACUCCUUAUGUGAUUGCUCAUAAAAUAUGAACUGAAGGUGAUCACUGAGAUUGAGACCUGCUGUGAAACACCAGAAUGGCAGAUAAGAAUGAUAUACUUGGAAACAAACAGCAAAACAAAUAUAGCAGGCUUAUACAAAGCAGAGAUGACAACCAAAACUUCUGUAAUGUGUUAUAGUAUGCUGUCAAAAUCUAGAGCAAUACACAGAGGAAAUUGCUUUAUCAACAGAAUCUGCUGGCGAUCUGAAAAACAGGUAACUUCUAAAUGAUGGAUUUAAGGGUCAUUUGCUGAUGCCUGCUGAGGGGCCUGUGCCUGGUGAAAGUUUACAGAGCAUCUUGUACAUCCUACUCCCCCAGAAAUACUGAAUGGAACCUGCUUGUAGGAACCCCAAGAGCUCCAAUGUCCUUUCUCUUCCGUGCUGUUCACCGCUGAGUGUCUGCUGGGAUGAGCUGGUUCAUAGACUUGGCUGGGUCAGGUGAAUGAGCUGCUGAAAAGGGAAAAUAUAACCAGAAUUUGGAGGAAAACUAAAGCAGGAAUGGGGAAGGAGAUCUUAGUCUGCGACGUGGAUUUGGAACUCUGCAAGCAUAUUCACACGAAGGCUAGGAUCACAGGAUGGCUAAAGACAUCAGGAACAUCUUCUGAGCACAUUUGGCUACUCCUGCAAGCAAGGUGAAGAAGAGAAUUAACAUCCAAUUUUCAGCUACCAGUGCCGUGACGCUACUCCUGACAUUGCUGCUGGUGCUAUAAAAGCAGAGUCCCACAGGUUGUCUCCUUGGUCUGUGAGAGACUGGAAAUGCCUCUCUAAGCAUAACUGAACUCUCCUGCUCAGCUUGACUGAAGAGAGAGCGUGGCUGUGGCGCCUGCUGUGAAAAGGACUUUUCUGAGGAAACAAACCAGUGAAGAAGUGACAGUGACCAGACCUGGACUAACAAAGCUCUAAUAAGUCUCCCACAGCAACAUCCCCAAAGUUAUCUAAUAAACAGGGAUGUUAUGACAUCCUUGCACAAUAACUCUAAAUACCAUCACAGGAAACAUCGCCUAAUAAACGAUACAAUUACUGCAAAGAUGAAAACCAGCGCUCCUGAGCGCACACACUUUAUCUCAAAUCCAGAUGUGAGUUAAGCGUGGGAGAAGGGGCAGUUGUCUGCUCUAAGUUGUCUGCUCUACACAGAUCAAAAUUUCAGCAAAAUGUGCUGCGAGCUGCAGCACAGUGAAGCAGCCGAGUUCGACCAGCCUCCCUGCCUGCCUCUGUCUGUGCUGUGCGACAGCCAAAGCAGAGUUAUAAGUAACUCCUCUCCUCUGCCAAGAAACUCCCUGCGUUGGUUUAUCCAGAAGGGCUUCUGCACCAAAGAUAGCCUCUGGUGUGGGGGUUAUGUUCCAGGUCUGCUUUUAGGGGAGAGCUGUUCCAAGAGAAGUUGAAAGUUUGUCUUCGGGUCUGUGAUUAUUGUAAAAGCCUGGACCGGAGCUUUUUUGGCUGCUUGCGUGUCACAGCACUUUUCUAACGAUCACUGGUUGCUGCCUCGGUUGAAUAGGUUUCCUAGGUUAACCAGGAAAAAGAAAAAAAAAAAAACAAAAAACUCCACCCUUUUUCAUUUUAUAAUUAUCUGCUAUUUCUCCAGAGCUGUUCUUUUAUCCGUAUAUUUUGCUCUUGCCUGGAUGUGCCCAGUGCCUUGCAAUUAAAAGGAAGCAGCUCUAUACUGUUACCAACCUAAGAUCACAUGCUGCAAAUCCUUGCUCAUUAGAGCAGUCCCACCAGAGCGAAUGAAGCUGUUUCACAUCAGGUCUGCUUGCUUUGCGAAGUUUAGGAGGUUCUGACCUUAAGUUGCGUGUUUUAAAAUGUCAGCAAAAUGUUCUCUGACUCACCAUUAAUAGUAUAAUUGCUAAUGUGAUGAAUAUCCAAAAAAAAAAAAAAAAAUCCAAAUGUGUUUAUAUAACUAUCAGAAAACUUGCAUUCCCAAAGGGAAGGGGCAGUUGUACUUUCAACAUCACUUGUUUUGGCCCGGAGGUGUCCCAUGUGCCAAAAAGUAAUAAUGCAAGGGACAGGGUUAACGUAAGACUGAAUUUAGUGAAAAUUCCUUACCUGUGCUACUUGGCAAUGCAAUGAGGUAUUCAAAGAAGGGAAGAGUUUUAAAAUAAGUUUGUUUUGCGCUUUGUUUUUUCUGUAGUUCUUGGCUUUUCUGGUUUCACUUCUGGUUUGUGUUCGAUCAGUCAGUGCUUCUAUGCUCUAUGUGCUCCGAAUUUAAAAGACAUCUGCUUCACUUCAGCUGUAUCCCCCACUGUCAGAUUCUGCUUCCUCCCGUUAUAAGAAUGCUAAAACAUUGCUGGCACGAAUAUGCAAGGAAAGUAAAUGCAAAGCCAGAGCCACAGAUAAUUGCUGAUCCUUUUAAAGUGCCCAAACCUCUCAUGAGAUCUUUGAUGCAGAGACUGUUCAGUGAGACAGACUAAGGUUUGACCACUCUUUUUGCAAGCACAAGAGCAAGCAUCUGCAAUUACUUUAUGAAAACAACCGCUGGUGAGAGUUAUAAAUCAAUACAUGCAAUGUGCUUGGGAUAUUUUAUUUUAAUUAAACCAUGCUUCAUAUAGCAUUCAGAGCUUCUCAGCUGCCUUGUUAGAUCCCUAGCAUCAGGGCAAGAGGGCAAAGAGUGAGCUGCCGCCUCUGCAGUUGGCAUCAGGCAGCCAGAUGCACCAAGCGCCCCUGCAAAUUUUGCUGCUUUUAAUUUUUGGUGUUUCCUAUUGAUGGAUGAUGUUGCAAGUAAUUUACUAGAAGUCACAACUCACUUGGUAGCCAAGUGGUUGCAAGUAGAAAUUACAAGAGAACUGUAU